ACGGACACAUCAUGUUGUAGCACUGGUUCCCAUAUGAUCACUGAAGUUAAGCAACAUCAAGCUUGGUCAGUACCUAGAUGGGUGACUGCUUAGUAAUACUGGGUGCUGUAA